rnacentral:rRNA from 1 species
UACGUAGGGUGCAAGCGUUAAUCGGAAUUACUGGGCGUAAAGCGUGCGCAGGCGGUUUUGUAAGUCUGUCGUGAAAUCCCCCGGGCUCAACCUGGGAAUUGCGAUGGAGACUGCAAGGCUUGAAUCUGGCAGAGGGGGGGUAGAAUUCCACGUGUAGCAGGUGAAAUGCGUAGAUAUGACGGAGGAACACCGAUGGCGAAGGCAAUCCCCUGGACCUGUACUGACGCUCAUGCACGAAAGCGUGGGGAGCAAACAGGAUUAGAGUACC